CAAAAGAUUAAAUUUCUUUGAGUAAAAAACACUUUCUUUAUAAGUAACAAAACUUUCUGAUUCACUUGAAGUUGCCUGUUACUUGAAGUCAGAAUCAAAACAUUGGUUAUGCAAUGGCGGCUAUAUCUGAAUUAUUUUACUUUUUAGAAUUACCUAGAUAAUAUAGGUUACCCGUGAAACCUCGGCCUCUGCCCUUCAUUUUCAACGUGAUUAUGUACUACUUACUUAAUUCUGAAAUAUUAUUUAUAUAUGGAGAUACAUAUAAAAUCCAAGCAAUGGCAGAGGCCGUACGAAACGAUACAAUGUUUUUCCGUUUUUGGAAAGAUAAGAGAAAAGUAUUAAGAAUAUUAACUUGAUAUACUUUAAUCACUUUCUUGGAUUUUCUAAAGAUAAAGAGGUAUGUACAUAUAUUG